CCUACGGGCGGCAGCAGUGAGGAAUAUUGGUCAAUGGUCGGAAGACUGAACCAGCCAAGCAGCGUGAGGGAGGAAGGUACAGAGUAUCGUAAACCGCUUUUGUCAGGGGACAAAGACUGGGACGCGUCCCCGGAUGAGGGUACCGGAAGAAAAAGCAUCGGCUAACUCCGUGCCAGCAGCCGCGGUAAUACGGAGGAUGCGAGCGUUAUCCGGAUUUAUUGGGUUUAAAGGGUGCGGAGGCGGGACGUUAAGCGCGCGGUCAAAGGCCGGGGCUCAACCCCGGCCCCGCGGUUGAAACUGGCAGUCUUGAGUUGGAGAGACGUAUGCGGAAUGCGCGGUGUAGCGGUGAAAUGCUUAGAUAUCGCGAAGAACUCCGAUUGCGAAGGCAGCAUGCCGGCUCCACACUGACGCUGAGGCACGAAGGCGUGGGUAUCGAACAGGAUUAGAUACCCUAGUAGUC
rnacentral:rRNA from 1 species